rnacentral:lncRNA from 1 species
ACCAUCCGAAAAAUCUCGUCGCAUAUCGCGGCCCACUGCUCCGGAGGGAUACCAGUACUCUCGGCGGUGGCACCAGCUGCAACGUCCUGCACAAGCUGAUGGAGGCGAGAACGGCUGGGCAGGUCCUAACGAUGGAACAACGCAUCGGUCUCAAACCUCUCCGACACCGCAGCCAUAACACGCUGGAACAAAGCAUUGUCUAAGCCAACGCCCGUAUGUGAUGGUCCCACGGGGGCUUUCGAACGCAGACGCCGGCUAGAGCCUACAAAAAUAAAUAUAACAUGAAUAAUAUGGCAAAUUUUCUUUAUUCAUAAACAAGAAAUAAACUAAAAAUAUUAUACCUCCUUACAGUGUAUAGGCUGGUAUCCUCGAUAACCCUAGCACUCGAUACCGGCCCGCUAGUACUAGUGGGAGUAUCCUGAGAUGGGACCCAAAGAGCCGUCUCCUCGUCCUGUGAUAAACUAAUCUCGGGCGGAGGGAUGGUGGAAUCUAACGUCUCAGCAUCGCCCCUAGCAACCUACAACUCGGCUAUACGCUGGUUGUGGAUCUUCUCAAACCGCUCCUGUAAUUUUAUAUAUGUACAUGUGAGUUAUCUUGGUAUCAUCAUAUAAAUUACGUAAUAUUAUCCUAAAUAAUAUUUAUUAUAGUAAAUGUAUUACUCGUAUAGCUAGUGCUGCUGGAGACAUCGUCGUCCCCGAAGUAGAGCCCUUCGGCGUAUGGACUCUAUCCCAGAACUCCAUCAUAGUAGGAGGUCGGCUCAAGCUACUCCGCAUGGCCUAAAUCAUAUACAUCAAAUAAUAUCACCUUAAUUUACUAUAGUUUCAGUUUAAUAUUAAACUAAACUAAAGGUAAAUACAUACCGCCUUAACCUCCUGAAACGACUGCGAGCCAGAAGUAUGUACAACUCGCAGCUUGCCUCGAUUCUUCUUCAUCUGCUCUAACUUGG